rnacentral:rRNA from 1 species
UACGGAGGGGGCUAGCGUUAUUCGGAAUUACUGGGCGUAAAGCGCACGUAGGCGGCUUUGUAAGUAAGAGGUGAAGGCCCGGAGCUCAACUCCGGAACUGCCUUUUAGACUGCAUCGCUUGAAUCCAGGAGAGGUGAGUGGAAUUCCGAGUGUAGAGGUGAAAUUCGUAGAUAUUCGGAAGAACACCAGUGGCGAAGGCGGCUCACUGGACUGGUAUUGACGCUGAGGUGCGAAAGCGUGGGGAGCAAACAGG